rnacentral:lncRNA from 1 species
GAUACCACUGUCCAGCCCCAAUUUGUAUUUUUAGCAAACUCCUCAAAGUAACUGCAAUGUAUGGAGAGGAGGUCUCUCCCUCUCCAAGGACCUGGGCUAAGGCCCUGACUCCUAGCUGUGUGAUCCAGAGAAGCUCAGCCUGCCCUCUGUGUCUUAGUGGAGGGUUGUGAAGGAUGAGUGUAACCUCCACUCUCCCUUGAAGUCCGUCUCCACUGACUGUGCCCCAUCCCCACCCCCGCACCUCCCCCCUUUACUCACCUCUGCUUUCUGCAGUAUGCAGCCUGGCUGGUACUCUGGGUCGGCUGGAAUGCCUUCAUCAUCUGCUUCUACCUGGAGGUUGGACAGCUAUCCCAGGACCGGGACUUCAUCAUGACCUUCAACACAUCCCUGCAUCGCUCCUGGUGGAUGGAGAACGGUCCAGGCUGCCUGGUGACUCCUGUUCUGAACUCCCGCCUGGCCCUGGAGGACCACCAUGUCAUCUCGGUCACUGGCUGCCUGCUUGAUUAUCCGUACAUUGAAGCCCUCAGUAGUGCCCUGCAGAUCUUCCUAGCUCUGUUCGGAUUCGUGUUUGCCUGUUAUGUGAGCAAAGUAUUCCUGGAAGAGGAGGACAGCUUUGACUUCAUCGGUGGCUUUGACUCCUAUGGAUACCAGGCGCCUCAGAAGACGUCGCAUUUACAGCUGCAGCCUCUGUACACGUGGGUCCUUGGCGGGGACUGGGUGUAACUGGAGGGUGUAACUUGGUGUUGGUGGAAAGAAGUGCAUGGAGAAGGCGUGGGCAUCCGGGUCUCUCUGACCACCUACUCGCAGGCCUGCAAAUACACUUCUAACCUGCUUUUGUUUCCUGCAGGUCUGGGUAGCUUCUGUUCCGCACCCACCUCGUAAAGCUCCCUGGACCUCUGGAGCCUGAAGCAGCGCUGUCCGGAGGCUUGGAUCACGAUGAGCAGGCGCGCCCCCUGGCGGCGCUUAGGCUAACUGCAGCUUGUACAGCCUCCUGGAUCUGCAGCCCCUGGAGCAAAUGCGGACUCACUUAGACUUGAACUUGGACCUGACCCUAGCCGGACUUCAGGGUUGGGGCAGGAUGGGGUUGGGGGGAGGGGGAAUCGCUGGGUUUGUAUUUUUUUUAAUCUCAGCCUUGGUACGUGCCAGGGUCUUCCUCUUUCUUCAGCUCUACUCCUUACCUAGUAUCUUGCCCUCAGUCCAAACAGCAAGACAGACGAACUCACCCCAUCUCACCUCUCAUUCACCUGCCCUGGGGAAAGAUACUGUGAACUAGAAGCAGGAGUCCUGGGCUCUAUCACUGGCAUCCUGUGUGACAUCGGGCAGAGUCUUUGCUCUCUCCGGGGCUCAGUUUCCCCACCUCAAAUAAUUAAAAUAAUCCCUUAGCAGAUGAUACUCCUAGCACUCUCGUUUGACUUUUCAAUUCCCUGGGCUAUGGGGCAGAUAUGGAAACUAAGGCCCAGAGAUGUGAGGCGACUUGCUUGAAGCCGCACAGUAAGGUUUUAGCAGAGGCAGGCUUUGAAUCCUGUGUGUUCUAGUUUGAGACUCUCCAAUCCAGUAUCUGGCCUCUGGAUUUGGUUUCCAAGCCCCGCUUCUAGCUCGGGCAAUCCCGCACACUCACAUAUCACCACCACAACACACCAGCUCCACUCUUAAAGCAAUAUACCAGUUCGUUCUCUUGGGAACCAGGCAAACAGAGCCUAAAGCCUUGAGUUCAGCCUGACCCACAGGAAGCCUUUGUAGACUCAGCCUGCUCAUCUUUGGUAAACUUCUAAACCUCGUCCUCCACAAAAGCAGAACCACUACUCGUCCGCCAGAUCUCUAAGCUGGGGUCCACUCCCCCCAAGCAAUCCCAAGCAAACCCUCCAUUCUUCCACCUACUUCACCGUCAUGGUCCCUGAGGGAGAGAGGAUGGUGAUCCAGAAGCAAGCCUGGGAAUAUGAAGGGGCAGAAUGAGUGUGGAUGACUCCAGUCAGGAGGACUAGAACCCCACCCUUUCCUGAGAACAAGCAGAGAGGAGGGCUUUUCUCCAUCUUCUUCCUCCACAGAGGCCCUAAGAACCCCGUGUCCUCAGUAGGUAGGGCUUGGUGAGUUACGUACAGAGAGAACAGACAUCGGUGCCUCCGAUCUGUGAAGCGGAAGCAAUCGGAAGGGCAGCUAAGAAGCAGAGGGACCUAGCAGGGAGCUUGUGCGGGAGAGACAGUUUACACCGCACCGAGGUGAACGCGCAGGGGAGACAGUUCACACCGCACCCAAGGUGAACACGUCGAGGUGAACACGUCGCUCUCCAGUCUUUCCUGAGCUAGAGCGGCAAGCCCCACUCCACUCCAACCAGUGUGCCACACAGAAUAGCCACGCCCAGGAGUUCCUCUGGCGAUCACAGGUCCCUGGGUGGUGAGCCUAAUCAGAGAGGGAUACGUUUCCUUUAAGUCAGGCUACCUCUUGCCACUGGGUCACUUCCCACCAGCAACACUCACUUCUCCCAUCCCUUCCCGCAGGGCUCUCUCUACUCAAGGGUUUAGCCACGGAUGCUUCGAAGCCUUUUGGUUUUAUAAGCUGGGUUUUACAGGGGGAAUCUGGGUUUGCUUCUCAACGAAACCUUGUGGGCUGAGACCUCCCAGGUAUCCAUGCAGGUUGGUUGAUUAAAAAAAAAAAAAAAAAA